UGUUGUCUCAAAAUAUCUGUUGUCUUUUCUUUUUUUUUUUUUUUGGUUGCUGAAUUUCUCACUUUCUUCCAUUUGCGUAACCUUUCACUCCACGCACAGAACAGGAGUGAUAUCGGUCUAAUUCCUUUAAAGUUGGGAUUUCAGAAACAGCAGAACCACAGCAUUUCGAACGGCGUCACCAGGCUGUUUUACAGCACGGCUGGAACGUAAACAUGGCCUCGCAGACCAUGUGCAGCACCUCGCCUCGAAGGCUUUUGUGGUUUGAUGUGUUUCAAGCUUUACGACAGAAGGUUUUAUUUCUGCUGUGAAGGCCUUUUAUCUGCUCAUCUUGUUUCCUUUCCUUCUCAGUGUGGGUGUUUUGUUCCUGUCUACUAUUUAGCAAGUGCUGUCAAAUGAGAAGUACUACUAUGGCUGUUGGACUGUUUCAGAUCAGUAGCACUUUGACGUUUUUUAGGCAUUUUAAAUGUCACUGAAACUAGACUGUACUCGGGUCUGCAGGAUGGUGUGGUUUAUAAAUCCUCAGCGAGUCAAAUACCACCUGAUCGUGUCAGUCUGGUGGUCUGUUAUUGCUGUGGCGCAGACAAAAGGAGGUGUCUAACAGAGGCAGGCGUGGCAGCAAAACAGACGAGUGUGUGGACCGAAUGUGGACAGAGAGCCAGAAUCAUCUUCAGCCAAAUCAGCAGAAACUGAGCAACUCAGAAGAAAGCUACACUUGACACCCCCCCACUGCAGUGCUUCAUACUUUCAGGUAAACUGUGCCCUCAGUACCUGCUGGUGUCACUUCCAGUCAUCUGUCACAAUAAACAGGACAGUUUUUGUUUUGCUUUAAAAAAAACUGGAACUAGUCAAUGGAUUUAAGAAUUUAGGCAAAGAAAAAGUUGCAAAACAAGUUAAA